rnacentral:misc_RNA from 1 species
AAGUCGUAACAAGGUUUCCGUAGGUGAACCUGCGGAAGGAUCAUUCAUGUGAUUUUUAAACACCCCAACCUCUUGCAAACUAUUAGUAUUAAAAGUGUUAAAGGUUCUGUGUUUUUCUUUUGUUGGCUGCGUUUUCUUUCACCUCAUUCUAUUUUCAUAGCACUUUAAACUUUGGGUAUAUUUUUACCUAGAAAAUAGGAAAAGAAAUGAUAAAUGCUACCUUUUAAUUACACUAUAAUUCACCCAGAAUUCUACCAUGAAUACACCUAAAAUUAUUACAACUUUUAACGAUGGAUCCCUCGGCUCUUA